GAUGAACGCUGGCGGCGUGCCUAAUACAUGCAAGUAGAACGCUGAAGGAAGGAGCUUGCUCUUUCCGGAUGAGUUGCGAACGGGUGAGUAACGCGUAGGUAACCUGCCUGGUAGCGGGGGAUAACUAUUGGAAACGAUAGCUAAUACCGCAUAACAGUAGAUGUUGCAUGACAUCUGCUUGAAAGGUGCAAUUGCACCACUACCAGAUGGACCUGCGUUGUAUUAGCUAGUUGGUGAGGUAACGGCUCACCAAGGCGACGAUACAUAGCCGACCUGAGAGGGUGAUCGGCCACACUGGGACUGAGACACGGCCCAGACUCCUACGGGAGGCAGCAGUAGGGAAUCUUCGGCAAUGGACGGAAGUCUGACCGAGCAACGCCGCGUGAGUGAAGAAGGUUUUCGGAUCGUAAAGCUCUGUUGUAAGAGAAGAACGAGUGUGAGAGUGGAAAGUUCACACUGUGACG
rnacentral:rRNA from 1 species